GACGAACGCUGGCGGCGUGCUUAACACAUGCAAGUCGAACGGAAAGGCCCUGCUUUUGUGGGGUGCUCGAGUGGCGAACGGGUGAGUAACACGUGAGUAACCUGCCCUUGACUUUGGGAUAACUUCAGGAAACUGGGGCUAAUACCGGAUAGGAGCUCCUGCUGCAUGGUGGGGGUUGGAAAGUUUCGGCGGUUGGGGAUGGACUCGCGGCUUAUCAGCUUGUUGGUGGGGUAGUGGCUUACCAAGGCUUUGACGGGUAGCCGGCCUGAGAGGGUGACCGGCCACAUGGGGACGGAGAUAGGCCCAGACUCCUACGGGAGGCAGCAGUGGGGAAUAUUGCACAAUGGGCGGAAGCCUGAUGCAGCAACGCCGCGUGCGGGAUGACGGCCUUCGGGUUGUAAACCGCUUUCGCCUGUGACGAAGCGUGAGUGACGGUAAUGGGUAAAGAAGCACCGGCUAACUACGUG
rnacentral:rRNA from 1 species